rnacentral:rRNA from 1 species
CCGGACAAGUCCGUUGGGAAAUCCACCCGCUUAACGGGUGGGCGUCCAGCGGAAACUGUCCGGCUUGGAGCCGGAAGACCUGAGGGGUACGUCCGGGGUAGGAGUGAAAUCCCGUAAUCCUGGACGGACCGCCGGUGGCGAAAGCGCCUCAGGAGGACGGACUCGACAGUGAGGGACGAAAGCCAGGGUCUCGAACCGGAUUAGAUACCCGGGUAGUCCUGGCCGUAAACGAUGUCCGCUAGGUGUGGCGCAGGCUACGAGCCUGCGCUGUGCCGUAGGGAAGCCGUGAAGCGGACCGCCUGGGAAGUACGUCUGCAAGGAUGAAACUUAAAGGAAUUGGCGGGGGAGCACUACAACCGGAGGAGCCUGCGGUUUAAUUGGACUCAACGCCGGACAUCUCACCAGCACCGACAGUGUGCAGUGAAGGUCAGGUUGAUGGCCUUACUGGAGCCACUGAGAGGAGGUGCAUGGCCGCCGUCAGCUCGUACCGUGAGGCGUCCUGUUAAGUCAGGCAACGAGCGAGACCCGCACUCCUAGUUGCCAGCAAUACCCUUGUGGUAGUUGGGUACACUAGGAGGACUGCCGCUGCUAAAGCGGAGGAAGGAACGGGCAACGGUAGGUCAGUAUGCCCCGAAUGUGCUGGGCAACACGCGGGCUACAAUGGCCGGGACAAUGGGAUGCCAUCUCGAGAGAGAGCGCUAAUCCCCUAAACCCGGUCGUAGUUCGGAUUGAGGGCUGAAACUC